CAGCGGCGAAAGGAACACCAUCAGCGAGAUUAUGUUACCUGCAAAGCAAAACGGCAAGGUCGGAAGGACAGACGCGGUCAGUCAAAUUGCUGUGUGAUCGACGAUGGUAGAACAGACGAAGAGCAGGAGGCGGAGAAAGAACCCCCCAAAAAAAAAGCAUGCGAGAAGGAGAACAUCCGGCGGCCGGGGUUAUUAGCUGCAGCUAGCCUGCAGGCGGAGGAAAUGGAACAAACUCUCCUCGCGGCGCGCCGUUGUGUUGGUUCCCGUCGUCAAGCAGGUACUACAUGUAAAAUGUAUGACUGCCCUGGUUUCUUUGUUUGGGCUAACCACCGCAUUAGUUAGGCCCAAAAAAAGUUGGGUUUUGGGCGGUUCCGUUCGUUCGGAUGGCAGGCUAUACUGUGCCGUGGCUCGGAAAGGAAGAGGUGGUUAUUAGCGCAUAUAGCUAGUAGAUUGACGAGGACGUGUUGUGUUGUCCUGUACGACGACACAUAUCUGAGAGAGGCGCGCGGUGAUGAAACUGUACCUAGGACUUGGGAGACGAUGAUGCCAUGCAUGUAUCAUGUAUGCGUGCGUCUCAAAGGACUUGGGACAAGGAAGGAAAACAAUGCAGAAACACUGACGAGGACGAAGACGGCAGGGCGGCUCCGUUGAUGCGGUUAAUUAGUAGCUACGAGUGACAGACUGACAGUAUAUAUGUACCUAGGAUACCGAAGGUGAAGG
rnacentral:misc_RNA from 1 species